rnacentral:rRNA from 1 species
GACAGAGGGUGCAAACGUUGUUCGGAAUUACUGGGCGUAAAGCGCGUGUAGGCGGCUAUGCAAGUCGGAUGUGAAAGCCCUCGGCUCAACCGGGGAAGUGCACCCGAAACUGCAAAGCUAGAGUCUCGGAGAGGAUCGUGGAAUUCUCGGUGUAGAGGUGAAAUUCGUAGAUAUCGAGAGGAACACCGGUGGCGAAGGCGGCGAUCUGGACGAUGACUGACGCUGAGGCGCGAAAGCUAGGGGAGCAAACGGG